ACUCAAAUGAAUUGACGGGGACUCGCACAAGCAGUGGAGCAUGUGGUUUAAUCCGAUACGACGCGUAGAACCUUACCAAGGCUUGACAUGUUUGGCAAAACUAGGGAAACCUAGCGGAGGUUAUCCAAACACAGGUGCUGCAUGGCCGUCGUCAGUUCGUGCCGUGAGGUGUAUGGUUAAGUCCUAUAACGAACGCAACCCUUGGGCUUAGUUACCAGCAUUCAGUUGGGGACUCUGAGCCGACUGCCUGAGUAAUCAGGAGGAAGGAAAGGAUGACGUCUGGUCGUCAUGGCCCUUAUGCCUUGGGCGACACACGUGCUACAAUGGUUAGGACAAAGCGUUGCCAACCCGCGAGGGGGAGCUAAUCGCAAAAAACUAACCUCAGUUCAGAUUGGAGGCUGCAACUCGCCUCCAUGAAGGCGGAAUUGCUAGUAAUCGCAAAUCAGCCAUGUUGCGGUGAAUACGUUCUCGAGUCUUGUACACACCGCCCGU
rnacentral:rRNA from 1 species